rnacentral:tRNA from 1 species
GCCCUGGUGGCAGAACUGGUUAAGCUCUUGGCUGCUAACCAAAAGGUUGGUGGUUCAAACCUACCCAGUGGCA